UACGUAGGUGGCAAGCGUUGUCCGGAAUCAUUGGGCGUAAAGCGCGUGUAGGCGGUUCGGUAAGUCUGCUGUGAAAGUCCAGGGCUCAACCCUGGGAUGCCGGUGGAUACUGUCGGACUAGAGUACGGAAGAGGCGAGUGGAAUUCCCGGUGUAGCGGUGAAAUGCGCAGAUAUCGGGAGGAACACCAAUUGCGAAGGCAGCUCGCUGGGACGUCACUGACGCUGAGACGCGAAAGCGUGGGGAGCAAACAGG
rnacentral:rRNA from 1 species